GACGAACGCUGGCGGCGUGCUUAACACAUGCAUGUCGAACGGAAAGGCCCUGCUUUUGUGGGGUGCUCGAGUGGCGAACGGGUGAGUAACACGUGAGUAACCUGCCCUUGACUUUGGGAUAACUUCAGGAAACUGGGGCUAAUACCGGAUAGGAGCUCCUGCUGCAUGGUGGGGGUUGGAAAGUUUCGGCGGUUGGGGAUGGACUCGCGGCUUAUCAGCUUGUUGGUGGGGUAGUGGCUUACCAAGGCUUUGACGGGUAGCCGGCCUGAGAGGGUGACCGGCCACAUUGGGACUGAGAUACGGCCCAGACUCCUACGGGAGGCAGCAGUGGGGAAUAUUGCACAAUGGGCGGAAGCCUGAUGCAGCAACGCCGCGUGCGGGAUGACGGCCUUCGGGUUGUAAACCGCUUUAGCCUGUGACGAAGCGUGAGUGACGGUAAUGGGUAAAGAAGCACCGGCUAACUACGUG
rnacentral:rRNA from 1 species